ACCAAAGCCAUCUGGAGGUUUUGUUUUGCGCAACUUUGAGACUUUGGCUGCACACGAUGUGGUCACGCCAUCCCACUUAUGUAACAGUUAAAGAAAGUCAGUUAAAAAGGAUGUCAGCUGCUUAAGGAGGCAAAAACAUUGCAGGAUCAUCACAAUGCCACAGAAGAAUGACCAAAAUGAGCUUUAGGAAAGUUUGAUUUUGGACUAAAUCAUGUCAUGCAAGAUGGAUGGAUAAGGCUGGGAUAUAAUGAAGGCUGCACAGAAGAUUGUGGGAGCUGAGCUCCUGGACUUGGACUCUGUGGGGAAGCACAGCGGGACAGAUGAGAAGCAGCGAGGAGAUGCAUCCAGCGACAGAGACUCGGCUAGUUCUUUUACAGAACUUUUUUCACCUGAACUACGAGGAGUGCGUGGCUCGUCAUAGCUCCCCCGCAGAUCCCCCACGAUGCCCCGGGGCACAUCUGUGUUGAGGUCAGAAGCUCCAGCUUUGGGCCAGUGUGAAUGGCCAUACAAGGCCCUGGCAUUUACUGCAGAAAUGAAAGAUAAGUCAGGAGGCAGAUUACAGCAACUACAGGACCUCUUUUAGAUCUCUUUCUCCUAUCAACGUGUCUGCCUUUCCUCUGUGUGUCAACAGUUAUGCUUCCAAUUCUGCCCUCUCUUUGUGCAAUCCUCCAGUCUUUCUCUUUACUUUUCCCCCCUGUCCUCUUUCUCAGUCUUUUAAUCUGCCUCAUUUCUAUUCCUUCUUCCCUUCCUUUCCUUUUCCUUCCCUCUCAGCUUGCAAAUACAAGGGCACUCUAAUAGACCUCCCUCAUGUCCCCCAUCGUUUCACUCCUCCCUUUCUCUCUCCUCCCCUUACCCCCUCCCUCGCUCCCUUCUCUCUCUCUCUCUCUCUCUCUCUCUGACUCUCAUUCCUUUCCCCUUUUUUCAGCCAUUCCCAGAUAAGAAGGGGGCAGAAGUAAUUCUCUUCAGUCACUUCUAAAGCUGAAGCCACCAGAGAAGGGUGGAAGGAGUAAAAUCCAGAUUACCAUUUGUUAAGAUUUUGUUUGAUUUGUGGAUAUUGGAAUAUUUUAUUAUUUAAAUUUUUUUUUGUUAUCUUGCAUUUUGCA